CCUACGGAGGCUGCAGUGGGGAAUAUUGGACAAUGGGCGAAAGCCUGAUCCAGCCAUGCCGCGUGUGUGAAGAAGGCCUUCGGGUUGUAAAGCACUUUCAGUGGGGAAGAAAGCCUUGGGGCUAAUACCCUCGAGGAAGGACAUCACCCACAGAAGAAGCACCGGCUAACUCCGUGCCAGCAGCCGCGGUAAUACGGAGGGUGCGAGCGUUAAUCGGAAUUACUGGGCGUAAAGCGCGCGUAGGCGGUCUGAUAAGCCGGUUGUGAAAGCCCCGGGCUCAACCUGGGAACGGCAUCCGGAACUGUCAGGCUAGAGUGCAGGAGAGGAAGGUAGAAUUCCCGGUGUAGCGGUGAAAUGCGUAGAGAUCGGGAGGAAUACCAGUGGCGAAGGCGGCCUUCUGGACUGACACUGACGCUGAGGUGCGAAAGCGUGGGUAGCAAACAGGAUUAGAUACCCCAGUAGUC
rnacentral:rRNA from 1 species